rnacentral:rRNA from 1 species
CGGACGGGUGAGUAAUGCUUGGGAAUCUGGCUUAUGGAGGGGGAUAACUGUGGGAAACUGCAGCUAAUACCGCGUAUUCUCUGAGGAGGAAAGGGUGGGACCUUAGGGCCACCUGCCAUAAGAUGAGCCCAAGUGGGAUUAGGUAGUUGGUGGGGUAAAGGCCUACCAAGCCUGCGAUCUCUAGCUGGUCUGAGAGGAUGACCAGCCACACUGGAACUGAGACACGGUCCAGACUCCUACGGGAGGCAGCAGUGGGGAAUAUUGCGCAAUGGGGGGAACCCUGACGCAGCCAUGCCGCGUGAAUGAAGAAGGCCUUCGGGUUGUAAAGUUCUUUCGGUAAUGAGGAAGGGAUGUUGUUAAAUAGAUAGCAUCAUUGACGUUAAUUACAGAAGAAGCACCGGCUAACUCCGUGCCAGCAGCCGCGGUAAUACGGAGGGUGCGAGCGUUAAUCGGAAUAACUGGGCGUAAAGGGCACGCAGGCGGACUUUUAAGUGAGAUGUGAAAUCCCCGAGCUUAACUUGGGAACUGCAUUUCAGACUGGGAGUCUAGAGUACUUUAGGGAGGGGUAGAAUUCCACGUGUAGCGGUGAAAUGCGUAGAGAUGUGGAGGAAUACCGAAGGCGA